GACGAACGCUGGCGGCGUGCCUAACACAUGCAAGUCGAACGAAGAGGCGAACGGGUGAGUAAUACGUGGGUAACCUGCCCUCCUUUUUGGGAUAAGCCUUGGAAACGGGGUCUAAUACCGAAUAACGGGGGAUGGGCUCGCGGCCUAUCCGCUUGUUGGUGGGGGGAGACACUACCAAGGCGGUGACGGGUAGCCGGCCUGAGGUGGUGACCGGCCACAAUAGGACUGAGAUACGACCCAGACGCCGAAGGGGGGCAGCAGUGGGGGAUAUUGGACAAUGGGCGAAAGACUGAUGCCGCGACGCCGCGUGGGGGAUGAGGGCUUUCGGGUUGUAAACCUCUUUCGCUAGCGAAGGGUUAGGUGGAGAAGAGACGCCGGCUAACUACGUGCCAGCAGCCGCGGUAAUAC
rnacentral:rRNA from 1 species